rnacentral:lncRNA from 1 species
UGUAAUUGUAAAAAUCUAAAUAAAAUGUAAUUUGUGGGGAAAAAAAAGACGUUUUGGAAUUCAGUCAGGCAAUAAAAAUAAUCAGUAUUUUCAGUGGAGGGCUUGUGUUUAGGAAAAUAAAUAAAUAAAUAAAUAGAAUCUCUGAUGGUUGUAACACUAUUUUUCCAUUUAAUUCUAUCAAGUGUUUGCUUUGUAUAUAUUGGACUUCUGUUCUGUGGUGUAUAUGUUUAUAAUUGUUGUAUCUUCUUGAGAAUUGGCCUUUUUAUCAAAAUAUUUUGUUUUAGUCUCCUAACAGUUUUUGACUUAAAGUCUAUUUUGUCUGAUUUUAGAAUAAUUACCUUUGCUAUCUUUUGGUUACUAUUUGUAUGGAAUAUCUUUUCCUGUCCUUUCACUCUCAACCUAUAUUUGUUUCUAGACCAAAAGUGAAUCUCUGAUAGAAAGCAUGUAGUUGAAUUUUUAAAAAGUAUUCUGCCAAUCUUUUGAUAGGAGAGUUUAUUCUAUUUGCAUUUAAUAUACCAAUAAGGAAGGACUUCUGCCAUUUUGCUAUUUAUUUCCUUAAAGAGUUUUUGUUCCUGAAU